GCCGCGCCUCCCUGCCCCGCUGCUGCGCCUCUCUCCAAUUCCCGCCCCGAGCUCCAUCGCAUCCAUACCUGCUCGCCGGCAGCAGGUGAGCUUUCUUCGCUGGUGGUCCAUCACCGGGAUCCACGCCGGUUAGCGCUCUCCCUUCGCCGGAGGAGUGACGAGGAGGCCAGACGAAACACGUCGUUGCCGGGUUCCAGUGGCUCGGCCAGGUCCUCCAUUGCGGAGACCCCUCCUCCAUGACCGCUCCGACGUCCUUCCCUCAUGCUCUCUUCCCCUACUGCCCGUGCCUUUCCAUGGGGCUCCCCUGACGGUGUUGUGCCGCCCAGGUGAGAAACGGCAGGAAGAAUAGGAAGUAGAGAGGGUGUUGGUGGAGGAAGAGGAGAUCGCUGUCGGCAGCUCUGCGUCCAUUCAUCCAGGGCAGUGACCUGUCAGGGGUCGUGUUGAGCGGCAGCCUUGGCUAUCAGCUAUUGUUAGGCCUGGAAUCAUUAAGGAAAGUGUGAAUUGGGUGCAACCGUGAAGUCUCCAGUUCUUGGUCGCCAUCGUGGUUGUGCAACUUAUUUGAAUUUUCAUUCAUUUCUGUAGCACAGUGAUAUGAGUGACAACAAGCUCUGCACUGAAACUCGUACUUGCUCCCGGCAAUUCUGGUUCAACUUAAGGCUUUAAGAAAUCUGCAAGGGGACGCCUUUUACCAGCGGGAUUCCUUACUCGAUACCUCAUAUUUCUGAUCUGGAGACGCUGGAUCUCUCUAUCAACCAAUUCUUAGGUAACUUGCCCUAGAGUUUCCAAUACAUCACAGGCAUCAAGACACUGCGAGGCGACUGAAUUUUAGGGAACUAUAUAUACUAGCUUUUCCUCGAUAUUCUCCUUCGGAUCAACAAAUGACCCGACCUGUCCUUCAAGGAGCACUUGUGAGCGGCUACCACGAGGUGACCAGUACACGAGCAGCUGCAUACCACAAGAGGAGCACACAGAUGAUGUAAUAUUCAGGUGCAAAGUUCAACCUCUGUAUAUGGGUACACAUCCUCCUCGCCGAGCCCCAAGUUCAACCUCUGACUGGGUACACAUCCUCCUUGCUGAGCUCAAUCUCAAGAAGUACCUUUGGUUGCUCUACAACACCAACAUCAAUGCGUUGGUUUGGCCAUGUUCUUCUGGAGGAGCUCAGGCUGCCACCACACAAAGGGAGAGGAAGCCAAGAUGAAUCAGUCCCGGCUUAUUGUCUGUGACCCGACGACAGAUACAACUACUUCGGGCCUAGGCGAGCAGCCGCCAGCCCUGCAUUUCAAUCCUAGGAUUUCUCAACGCUGAUUUUAUUAAGACAUUAAAAACCAAUAAUACUAAAGUAUUCCUUGUGUCCAGAGGUUUCCGGCAAAUGAUCAAGGUAUAUCUUCACUAAACGGCUGCACGAACGGUACAUUUGGAAUCUGGAUUAUCAGAACAUAGUCAAAUUUUCCUGUCCUGGAAACAUUUUCAAAUUUUGUGACAUACACACACCAAGAUGCUUUUAAGAUAUCCAUAGUUUAAAUACAGAAAUUGGUUCUAAAUUUUCUGUCUAUAUUAUUUGUUGAACAGUAAACAAGGACAUGUUUCUUCCAUGAUCUAAAAGCAACAAUUCCUCUUUUCUUCACUUUAGAACAUUUUGAAUUUAAUUUUGUGACUGAAGUUUCACAUAGUGGUCAACAGAGGUGUAUUUAGGUCCAAACUUACAGAGCUGUAACAACAGAGGUGUAUUUAACCGAACUAAUGUUACCUUAUUUAAAAUUUUGCUCGAGUUUAAACAUUCACAGAGACCUAAUUAAGAUUGAUUAAACUGUUCUUAUAUUAUAUGCUUGUUGGCGAAGUAUCAAGUGAAAAUGGUCAUUCAAUGAAAACUGGAAAACUUUCCUCGUACGCCUUUGGAUCACGAAUGUAUGGUAUAGAUCAGAGGUGGGAAUGCCACCAGCCACUUAACCACACUUUUCCCGAGAACCCCCUGCCCGUACGUGCUAGCUUGGUAAGUGUUCAGAAAAAAAACAUAUCAUGUUCAAUCUGUGCCGCCAUGGAGCCUCGUCCCAUGCCGAUUGCCAUGUGCGUUGGCCCUCCGGCGGACGUGUGCCCUAGCUCUCCAACGGCUCCAUCCUCAAGCACUCUUCCUCGCCCUCCAAUGGUUCCGUCCAGGAGAGCUCCCCCUCCGCCGGCAGUGAUCCCCCACCUUUCGCCGGCCCCGACCAUGAUUCAGAUGCUUGAAUGUUAAUUGACAACCUUUGGAAGAGGAAGAAAUUCUACCAAGGGUUCUUCUUGAGUAUGUUCUUGGUGAUGCAAAUCGGCUGACACAUGUAUUUUACUAGGAGAUUAUCAUUUUCUAGGAUUAUGAUGCAGUCCUGAAUGACAACUUAGAUGGCCUUGUAUCUCUGAAUAUUUGUACUGAAGCUCAUUGGUACUCAUGCCGACAUUUUGCUAGGAGAUUAUCAUUUUAUCUCUGAAUA